GUCUCUGGUGCUUCCACACGCAUAAAAACUAUCCAUGUUGUUUUGAGUGAGAUACGGGUUUUCUGAAUGUCCUCUGCCUUCAGUCUCCGGGUAAGCUGUUCAAAAUCGGCACAGCUUUCUACUUCAAAAGCCGAGACGAGCUCUCUAACCACAACCG